rnacentral:rRNA from 1 species
UACGUAGGGGGCAAGCGUUGUCCGGAAUCAUUGGGCGUAAAGAGCGUGUAGGCGGCCCGGUAAGUCCGCUGUGAAAGUCCAGGGCUCAACCCUGGGAUGCCGGUGGAUACUGUCGGGCUCGAGUCCGGAAGAGGAGUGUGGAAUUCCUGGUGUAGCGGUGAAAUGCGCAGAUAUCAGGAAGAACACCAAUGGCGAAGGCAGAUCUCUGGGCCGUAACUGACGCUGAGGAGCGAAAGCAUGGGGAGCGAACAGG